GGGGGCGAUCGGAUUUGACUGGGUCAUCGUCGAUCAGGGUGGCGUGUCGUGGUUGAUCAGUUGGCCACGUAAAAAGCUGAUCACACAAUAACUGCUAAUCCGCAGUACUCUCUGGCUGCCUAGUAAUAGGCGUCACUGAACAAGGAAUCCCCGUCUGAGGAGUCCGAAGUUCAGUUGCAAAUUCAGACUGGCACUUGCCCAUUGAUCGCUACGGCAAGUGUGAGACAAGUUGUGAUCUAGUGACGGACGGUUUUGUCUGUUGAGCCACGUCGUCGCGAAUUCAAUCAUCAGACUACACACGUAGAAGCUCUGGUUAAGAGUCCACAGGACGGGGGUUCGAUUCCCCCCGCCUCCAUAU
rfam:Fuerstia marisgermanicae strain NH11 chromosome, complete genome.